rnacentral:rRNA from 1 species
GGGGAAUCUUCCGCAAUGGACGAAAGUCUGACGGAGCAACGCCGCGUGAGUGAUGACGGCCUUCGGGUUGUAAAGCUCUGUUAAUCGGGACGAAUGGUUCUUGUGCGAAUAGUGCGAGGAUUUGACGGUACCGGAAUAGAAAGCCACGGCUAACUACGUGCCAGCAGCCGCGGUAAUACGUAGGUGGCAAGCGUUGUCCGGAAUUAUUGGGCGUAAAGCGCGCGCAGGCGGAUUGGUCAGUCUGUCUUAAAAGUUCGGGGCUUAACCCCGUGAUGGGAUGGAAACUGCCAAUCUAGAGUAUCGGAGAGGAAAGUGGAAUUCCUAGUGUAGCGGUGAAAUGCGUAGAUAUUAGGAAGAACACCAGUGGCGAAGGCGACUUUCUGGACGAAAACUGACGCUGAGGCGCGAAAGCCAGGGGAGCGAACGGGAUUAGAUACCCCGGUAGUCCUGGCCGUAAACGAUGGGUACUAGGUGUAGAAGGUAUCGACCCCUUCUGUGCCGGAGUUAACGCAAUAAGUACCCCGCCUGGGGAGUACGACCGCAAGGUUG